UAUGUACAAUAUCCAAUUUGCAUUGUAAUGUAAUUGAACCAUAAAAUUUUCAUCAGUACAAAUAUUGCAGAGAAGAAAUGUUCCCUCUCUUCCCUCUCUUCCUCUUCUCCCUAUUCAUCUUCUCUCUCUUCCCUCUCUUCCUCUUCUUUCUUCUCUCUUCCCUCUCUUCGUCUUCUCCCUAUUCGUCUUCCUCCUUCAUAUUCUUCUUCCUUCUCCAUCUCCUUCUUCAUUGUUAUUAUUGAGUUUCAGACAUGUUCGAUUUUGAUUUUGAUUUGGUGUUUGUUGUUUCAGGUUUGGUGGUGUUGACUCACGCGGAAGAGGGAAGCUUCGCCGACGGUGCGAUUAUCUGAACAUAAGGAUAUGAAGAUGAUGUUAUGGUUCCAGAACUUUGGGUUUCAUUAUGAUCUCUGUGGCUAUGGCUGUGUGUUUGUGUGAACAGUUAUUGUUUUUGCAACAAUUUGAGAAGGGUUUCUGGAAAAUGAAGAAUGAAAAUCUUAGGGUUUCAUUGUUUGUUUCUCUGUGGCUGAUUUCGGGUGAACAGUGGUCUGUGAGGUAUGGACAACUCAAAGUUUCAGUUUCCCGAUUUAAGGCAUGUCUGAGCUUGCCCUCCAUAUGUUUGAUGAAAAGCAGGAAUGACACAGUGGUUGUCGUUGCUGCGUUUCAUGGUCUGAGGUUUGAAAGACCCGGUCAGGUUUGAGAGCAGUAGAGCACGGGAUGAUAUCGAUAUUCGAAUUAAAACCUGUUGCAGUGCGAAAAUGAUCAUUCAAACCAGAAUAAUACAUGAGUCACACUACCAUCGGCGACAAGGAACGAUAAGAAAUUUUCUACUGGAUUCUUAAAG